rnacentral:tRNA from 1 species
GCUGCUGGUAGCUCAGUUGAUAGAGCGCCUACCCGUUAAGCGGGGUGUCGCCGGUUCUAUUUCGGCUCGCAGCG